rnacentral:sRNA from 1 species
ACAGAACUAUACGAUAAACAUGCACCG